GAAGACGGAAUGCAAGCACGGACACAGCUGGCUGUACUCCAUUUUAAUGAAAAUGCCUCAAGGGAGCAAGCAAGAACACGAGGAGGACAAAAAAGGUGGAAAGUGAAAAUGUCGAAGGCAAGGAAGGGUCACUUCGCUGCUUUUCCAGUCAAAACAGCACCCACCUUUGCCUAUGUCCGACUCCUCCUCCAGGAUGUCACGGAACGCUGCAAUGUCUCAGUGAGACAAAGUAUUAGCCAACAGAGCAGCUCACAAGGCCAUCACAUGACUGAUGCCUAUGUCGACAGGCCUUCAAAAGAAGAGCUCCUGAUGACCCAACGGCACCGAUAUCGAACACAGAACUAGCUGUUUUUUUUUUUUUCAAGAUAGUCG
rnacentral:lncRNA from 1 species